CAGCACGUAAUGGUGGGAACUCCAGGGAGACUGCCGGUGAUAAACCGGAGGAAGGUGGGGACGACGUCAAGUCAUCAUGGCCCUUACGAGUAGGGCUACACACGUGCUACAAUGGCGCAUACAGAGGGCAGCCAACCAGCGAUGGUGAGCGAAUCCCAAAAAGUGCGUCGUAGUCCGGAUUGGAGUCUGCAACUCGACUCCAUGAAGUCGGAAUCGCUAGUAAUCGUGAAUCAGAAUGUCACGGUGAAUACGUUCCCGGGCCUUGUACACACCGCCCGUCACACCAUGGGAGUGGGCUGCAAAAGAAGUGGGUAGUUAACNUCGGG
rnacentral:rRNA from 1 species